AACAUAAACUUCAUACUCCUGCUUUGCUGGAGUAAGGACAGUUACGCCCCCCUCUCAGCCCAUUGGUCAAUAUCUCCGCUGGAAUGCGUUUGUCAGCUUUUAAAUGGAUGUGGCUCGUGUCAUUCUGGGCACACUAAACGAUGCCGCGUGGGCUGCACCUCAUCAGGUUGGAUAAGGGUCCUCCAGGUGUCAGACACUUCCCCCAGCAGAGCAUUCUCCUCUGACUCCUGACAAGCCCAGUCAUGAUCCUGCCUCUCUCUGCGCCACUCAUCUGCUCAACCAGCGUUGAUUAAGAAGACACCCACGCAGGCAUUGUGCAGCACAGCAGGGCAGGUUCAAAUGACUCAAUUAUAUUACAUGUUGGUAGGAUUUUGGCACGUUCUGCUCAAGGAAGUUUGUUGCUGCUAGCCAUCCACAGUGCUACUGCUGCAUCGCCUCCUGAUUUCCCAAACUACGGAGCGGCACGAGGUCUAAAUCACAGAACGGGCGUCAAAAAAUGAGUGGCAUUAAAAGAAAUUUGUGUUCACUCGUUAUUAUCGCACUCAUUUUCACAGCCCUAGUUAAUAUAUGUGACUAGAGAAGUCUGAGAAUGUUGAAGGGACAGAGGGCCACGCAAAAUCUUACAGUGUCUCAUUGCCAGGCUCCUAUAUGAUGUUUGUAGGCCUACUGGUUUCACAUUAAAUUAAAAUGUCAGUAAUUCAA